rnacentral:rRNA from 1 species
GACAGAGGGUGCAAACGUUGCUCGGAAUUACUGGGCGUAAAGGGCGCGUAGGCGGCCUUCUAAGUCGAACGUGAAAUCCCUGGGCUCAACCCAGGAACUGCGUCCGAUACUGAAAGGCUUGAAUCCGGGAGAGGGAUGCGGAAUUCCAGGUGUAGCGGUGAAAUGCGUAGAUAUCUGGAGGAACACCGGUGGCGAGGGCGGCGUUCUGGACUGCAACCGACACUGAUGAACGAAAGCCAGGGGAGCAAACGGG